AUUGAACGCUGGCGGCAGGCCUAACACAUGCAAGUCGAGCGAGCGGCGGACGGGUGAGUAAUGUAUGGGGACUGCCCGAUAGAGGGGGAUAACUACUGGAAACGGUGGCUAAUACCGCAUACUAUCGGAUAACCCAUAUGGGAUUAGCUAGUAGGUGGGGUAAAGGCUCACCUAGGCGACGAUCUCUAGCUGGUCUGAGAGGAUGACCAACCACAAUGGGACGGAGAAACGGCCCAGACUCCUACGGAGGCAGCAGUGGGGAAUAUUGCACAAUGGGGGGAAGACUGAUGCGGCCAUGCCGCGUGUAUGAAGAAGGCCUUAGGGUUGUAAAGAACCUUUAUCGGGGAGGCGUUACCCGCAGAAGAAGCACCGGCUAACUCCGUGCCAGCCGCCGCGGUAAUUC
rnacentral:rRNA from 1 species